AUAUGUGGGUCUGGGGGGUAUAGCUCAGUUGCAUCUGUGAAGUCCUGUGUUUCAUCUAUGGUACUAAAUGAAACCGGACAUGAUAGCACGUGCCUGUAAGCUCCGUCCUUGGGCGACAGAAGCAAGAGGAUCAGCGGUUCAAGGUCAGCCUUGGCUACGAAGUGACUCUUGGAGAACAGCCUGGACGGCUGCAUCAAAUGAUGGUGGGAUUCAGCUUGGCAGAGCGUGGGCUCGAGACUACCACUUAACGGCUGCCGUCCAAAUAUUUGCCACAACCUAAGUUAGCAGGCGAAGGACCUGGAAGUUAAUCCGCCAGAGGCUUACUCCUGCCAGGGAGGACCAGAGGAGGUCAGAGAAACCCCUUUGGCUUUCAUCAUUUCUCCUUGUUUAAGUCUCUUCAUAGUUCAAGAAGGAAGCAGCUUCCAGGCCUCUAUUACUACUGCCCCCUGCUGCUUUUCCUAUAUCUCUCCCUCUCAAAUCCUUGGCCCUACAUAUGCACAGACACCCAGACACAUACACACAUUCAUACAUAUGCAUACAUAUACAUUUACAUAUAUGUUUUUUUUAUUCACACAUACAUGCAUAUGUUUUCAGAGCACAUCGUGGCAUUGUCUAACCAGCAAGGGGUUUAUCUCCAGCAUUGACUGAUUUCCCCCUUAGUCAUCAGCUGGCUGUAGCUCUUUAUCUAAGUGUGGGACCUUGUAAGAUUUUUCUCAUGCAUGUUGGCAUGUAAACUGCUGUUGUUACUGUUCAGGUCUUGUUCUCAAUAAGCCACAUUGUUGAUGUCUCAUGGUACAGCUUUUUUAUCACAUUGUCUUUCAUAAUAAUUGUUAAUUUGUCCUUUCUGGUGUUUUACGUUGUGUAUUCUAGUUUAUCUUCUGUCUGGGGAAAAGCAUUUGGUACUGGUGGUGAUGAAUCUCUGAUUUUGCUUACCCAGCAUAGUCCUUGCCUUUGUAUGUGGGUGCUGAGAACAUUCAGAGUCCGCUCAAUACUUUUCAGGUAUACAGCACAGUGUUAAGACUAGCCACCACACUCGCGAAGUAUUCUGAGUUCUUUUCAUUAUAUAACUGAACAUUUUAAUGCUUUGAUCAACAUCUCUUAUUGCUCCUAUCUCAAGCCUCUAGUAAUCAAUGAUUAGUUUCUUUGUAUGAGUUGGAUCUUUUGAAAUUUCAUGAACAGCAGAUAAUGCGGUCAGGCAGCCAUCUUCUUGUCUGGCUUUCUUCCUUUAUCAAAUGUGUGUAGAUCAUCUAUGUUUGUAGACUGUGGCUCAUCUUCUUCUUUUUUUUUAAUUAAAUUUUUUAUUAGGUAUUUUUCUCAUUUACAUUUCCAUUGCUAUCCCAAAAGUCCCCCAUACCCCCCCUCCCCUACCCACCCACUCCAACUUUUGGCCCUGACGUUCCCCUGUACUGGGGCAUAUAAAGUUUGCAGCAAGUGAGUCAACUAAAAGCAAUGAGAAUUCCCACUGAGUUCACUGGUGAGCCAUGGCACUUCCGGGUCUGUGUCAUUACAGCUGAGAAGACUAGAAAAUGGAGUGUUUUGAUCAACAAGAUCACUUUCGGAAGACAGAAUGGCCCCCAAGUCUGUCUACAAGACUAACAAGAACAGAGAUAUAGCAACCAAAUCCAAAGCCCUGGUACAUGUUCCAGUACUGAAAAACAGAGGUGUGUAGGAAUAAAUUUGAGAGUUUUUUAGAAAAGGAAACAAAGGAGUGGCUUUAGACACGUAUAACAGACAGACACAGAGCAGGUGGUGCCUUUGGAGAUUUCUUCAGAUGUGUAGAACAGACAGACAAACUGACAUUUUAAAGGAAGGUCACUGCUGAGAACCUGGAGGGUAGGAGCAUCUGGAUUCUCAAUCAAGAGCCCGCAGAGGCGGGGUGCAUGCAGCUUCAGCAUCUCCUGGUGGAGGAGCGGCUGUGGGAGGACUCGUGGAAGCUGCUGUGACUCUGACCACGGCUUGAAGAGGUGGAUUAUCUCAGAUAUUUUAUCAGAGUGACAGAAAGCUGACAAAAAGCAGCAGAAGACUCUUUCUCUAUGUUGUGACUCUGAGCUUGUCCAGGCAACUUGCUGAGAUGGUUUUGAUGCAAACAAAAAUGAAUGAUGCUGGUGAGUCUCUUCUGAUGCCCGUGUUCUCUUUGCCUAGUGUAAGAAAUUGUCUAAGCUCAUUUGAAGCUGGAGGGGUCAGAAGGAGCAACAUAUAGUGACUGGUCUUAGAAAGAGUAAUGUAUCAAGAGCUCUGGAGGAAGGAAGAAGAGAAGAGAAGGAAAAAGGAAAGAGAAGAAAGGAAGGAUGGAUCUGUAUCUGAGAGCUAAGUACAAUAUCAGUCUUUUGGAAACAUCUGUACUCCUUAAUGUGAGUACUCAUGUUUAUAUGUAGAUUGUAAGCCUUAUGUUCUAAAACUGGCUUUAUUGGUGUCAAUAAAUGAGAAGCAGGUGAAGCAUACUUAACCGGCUGGCCUGGAACUCAUGGUCCUGGAACUCGUGCUGAUUACAUCAGCAUCCCCUGUGUUAGGCUUAUGGUCAUGUUUCUCCUCGUCUGGCAAGAAAUGAAUCUUAAAGGAAGAACUGACUCCCAUAGUGUAAGAAGAAAGCUGUAUUCUAGACAGCUCUGUGGCAAAAGUCGCUGGAACCUAUUUGUAGAGGAGGUGAGCAACGAUUUGAAGGACUAGCCAGAUGACUCUCAAUGUCAUUUAGUUAUUUAAAAACUCAAGCCAAGAGUAGAUUUUCUUGUGGAGGUGUCUGUUCCAUUGAGGUAUGAGAGUUCUUGUCACAUAAAAUAUAUUAACAUAGCCAUACAAAUAUUUUUAGCACAAGCAUGAAAAUUUCAUGUAUUUUUCAGCUUGACUUUGUUAAUUUUUGUUGUAAAUGUAGCAUGGCAUUUUAAAAGACUGUUAAUUAUCUUAAUUAUGUGUAUAUGCCUGUAUGUGAGUAUGUGCUGGUGGGAAGGGGCUUCUGUGGAGCCUGAGAUGUUAGACUCCAUGGAGCUGUAGGUACAGGCAGGUGUGAGCCACUUGACAGGGUACUAUGAAGUGUUCCCAAGACUAGUAUUCACUCUUAACUGCUCAGACAUUUUUCUAGCCCCCACACUGCAUUUUUAUACAACAAAAUCA
rnacentral:lncRNA from 1 species